rfam:Synergistales bacterium 54_9 MPJ_scaffold_603, whole genome shotgun sequence.
GGGGAAGUGGCGGAAUGGUAGACGCGCUGGCCUCAGGAGCCAGUGUCCGUAAGGAUGUGGGGGUUCGAAUCCCCCCUUCCCCA